AGAUGGUAUGGAAAUAUUUUUUAUUUCUUGUGUGAUAUGUACAAUAUUAUUCCUAUAUUUAUACAAAGAAAAGAACCAUCACCGUUGGCUAUAAUUUGUGUGUAUCAUUACAUAUACAUGUGCCCAUCACAUUGUACACAACCUAUAUCCCCUUGUGUCCUCCGCUUUGAGUUGUCACCUCAACUUUGAGCCUAUGUCUGAACACUACUUCUUGUCGGGGCCAAAGUAAUUUUUUCUGACAACAUCCCCUCAAGUUGGAGACCCCAGAUCGGACUCCCAACUUGCCCAUCAAAGAACGGUGAAGCGGCCCGGAGAGGGCUUUUGUGAAGAUAUUAGCGAUCUGAGAUGAAGAUGGAACAAAAGAUAGAGAAAUCAAUCCAUCCAGCAAUUUUUCACGAAUGAUAUGGUAGUGUCAAGCUCAAUAUGCUUAGUUCGUUCAUGAAAGAUGGGAUUUUUUGCUAUAUGAAUUGCUGCUUGAUUAUCACAGUGCAAAGGUACAGGCAAAGAUGGAGGAGCAGUGAGAUUUUGAAGAAGGCGAACUACCCAGGCAAUUUCAGCCACCAAUCAACGCAUUGAUCUAUACUCUGCUUCGGCCGAGGAAAGGGCAACAACCUGUUGUUUUUCGAUUUCCAUGAAUUUGGCGAACCGCCCAUGCUUAAGAAAAAUCCACUAACCAAACGCCGAGAAUCAGAACAACCAGCCCAAUCGGAAUCACAGUAGGCAACAAGCUGAAAAGAAGAAUCUGAAGACAUAAAAAGUCCAAGCCCUGGAUCUUUACACAAGUAUCGUAGGGUACGAAGUGCUGCCUGAUAAUGCCCAGUACAAGGCUUUUGCAUGUAUUGACUGAGUGUCUGCACGGCAAAAGCAAGAUCCGGUCGUGUAUUAGUUAAAAAAUUGAGCUUUCCAAUCAAUCAGCGAUAAAUGGUAGGUCAGAAAGGGGAGUUCCACACUCAGAAGAGAGCUUAAGAGAUGGAUCAAGAGAAGAAGAAGCAUGUCUGGAAGCUAAGCAAUCAAACUCAGUGAGGAGGUCUAGAGCAAAUUUCCGUUGUGUAACCACUAAUCCAUUUUGUUCGCGUACAAGUUCUAAUCCCAAAAAAUAAUGCGCCUCACCCAUUCAGCGUUCAAGAAAUGUUUAAUGUCUGCAACUUCUUUGGCAUUGUUCCCUGUAAUUAAGAUAUCGUUGACAUAAACUGCAAGGAUAGUGACCAAUUCACCAGAGAUCUUAAAAAAAGGGAAUAGUCAUUAAGUGAUGAUUUGAAACCCCUUGUACCUAAAGCAGCAGAUAAACGAGCGUACCGCUGGUGAGAUGCUUGUUUAAGACCAUACAACGACUUGUGUAGUCUACAAGCAAGAGAAGAAGAAGAAGGAAUUAAACCUGGAGGAAAGCGCAUGUAAACUUCUUCAUCCAAAUCGCCAUGUAAGAAGGCGUUGUUGACAUCCAACUGGUACAAUUUCCAAUUUCUUUUCACUGCAAUGGGCAAAGCCUUUUUUCCUUCUGGCAAAAUAACAAUGUCCCAAGUGCGAUUGAAUUCUAGUGCGUCAAGUUCUUUUUCCAUAGCAAGUUGCCAACCUGAAUCCUUGGUUGCCUGAUGGUAAGAAGUAGGUUCUUGUAUUUGGACAUAUGGAAUUUAUCAUUAUCUGAUUAUCUUUUGUUAGGGCAUAAAAAGCAAAAGAAUGUAUGGGAAGUAAAGGAGGAUUAGGAGAAAAAGUAGAAUAUGCAGUAUUACAGAUAUAAUCUGACAAAUAGAUGGUUGGUGAUGCUCUCUUUGUGAUCGUCGCAAGACUGGCCCUUGUGGGGAGGGUAAGGCCUCUGUCGGAGGAGUAGUUUGAACUGAGGAAGGGGAUACAAUUGGACUAGACAGAGGGAUAGGAGAGGAACUAGGACAUGAAUGAGAUGGUAGCUGUUGAACAGGUGAACUAUGAGAGUAAGCAUGCUGAGGUUGUGUGGUAACAAAAUUAGGAGUAGAAGACUCAUGAGUAAGGAGGAAGCUGGCAGGAAAUAAUUUAGAUAUUGGAGCGGAAAAGGAGAAAGGAAAAAUAGUUUCAGCAAAUCUCACAUCCCUUGAAACAAUGACCUGGUUAGAUAGUAAAUUUAGAAUCCUAUACCCUUUCUUCCCAAAUGGAUAUCCAAGAAAACACCAGGGGUUGCUCUAGGAUCAAGCUUAUCCCUAUGUCGAGACAAGGUAGAACUAAAACAUAAACAUCCAAAAGGUCUAAGAGAGUGAUAAUCUGGUUGUUUAUCAAAAAGAACCUGAUAUGGUGAUCUAUUUUGAAGUACCUGUUGAUCAAGUACAUGGCAGUCAACAAAGAGUCUCCCUAAAAUUUUUUAGGGGCAUGUGAUUGGAAAAGAAGGGCUCUACAGGUUUCCAAAAGGUGCCUAUGUUUCCGCUCUACAACACCAUUUUGUUGUGGUGUUGUAACACAAAAGGUUUGAUGGAUUAUGCCUUGUGAGGAAAAGAAAUUUUUAGGAAUUUGUCUUGUACCUAAUUCAAAAGCAUUAUCAGAUCUUAUAACUUUAACCUUAGCAGAAAAUUGUCUUUCAAUAAGUGCUAAGAAGGAUUUUAAUGUGGGAAAUGCACUGGAUUUAGUAUUGAGAAGAAAUGUCCGAGUGCUUCUGGAAAAAUCAUCAACAAUUGUGAGAAAAUACUUCUCCUCGUUGUAAGUAGGAGUUUUAUAUGGUCCCCAUGUGUCUAUAUGAAUCAAAUCAAAACACUUUUUGGAUCUGAUAGUACUAAUGGGAAAAGGGAGUUUAGAUUGUCUGGCUAAAGGACAAAUGGUACAAGGAAAUUCUUUCUUUUUUGUGAACUUUAUAGGUAAUCCUUUUAUAUGUUUCAUUGCAUAAAAGGGCAAAUGUCCCAAUCUAUUAUGCCACAAGCUCUCCAAUUCAGUAAUACUUUUAUUAUUACUGAAAUUUUUAUGACAAAAGGAAUAACAUGACUCUGAAGACUGAGGCACAAGGGCCUUUGACAAAGAGAAACUGGAAAAGAAACAGACUCUAAACAACUUGACUUGGACAACUGGUUGGAAGAAGACAUUGGAGCAAUGCUUUUGUCGGGUGUGGCUUGGAUUUGAAGAGAGUUAUUCUGCACCAGGUAAAGACCAGUAGAGGCAUCACCAAAAACUCGACCCCUCCUCAAGGAAGGGACCUGUAAAUAACAACCAAUUUUGUCAAAUGUCAUACUACAAUUGAAUUGCUCACAUAGUUUCUUGACUGAAAGAAGGUUAUGCUUGAAUGUUGGAACAUGAAGCACAUUAUGAAGCACAACACUAGGAGACAAUUGAAGCUUUCCUACACAUGUAACUAUUACUUUAUAUGAAUUAGGUAAAUUAACUGAUAUAGGUGUUCUAAGUACUACGACAUCAUGUAAUAGAGAUUUAUUAAAAGUCAUGUGUUGUGUAGCACCAGAGUAAAUUAUCCAAGGAACUCUAGGAAUACUAGAAAAAAAUGAAGUGAAAAUAUGGCAAUUAGCUUCAAUACCAGCCAAGUUUGCACUUGCAGUGGGUUCAGAAGUUGAGGCAAUAGAACCAACUUGUCACAUUGUUCCUUAGAGAACCCUUGGCCAGUAACCAUAUUUGAGACUGCAUUUCCUCUAAUUCCUGAGGUGAGAGAUUCAUCAACUUCUCCAACAUUUACUUGUUGGUUUUCAAAAUUUCCCCUAUUCUGUUAAUCUUGAAGUGCUGAGGAUAUCCUACUAAUUUAUAGCACUGCUGUUUUUCAUGACCUGUUUUCUUGCAAUAUCUACAAUAUAAAUCAUUCUUUCUUGUUGGAUAGUGACUUGCUCCUCUAGUUUUCAUAACUUUCUUUUGUGGAGCCCAUUUCUACCUAGUCAUGAAAGCAGAAGAGUCAUUAGGAAUUUGAUGAGUAGAAUGUACCUCUCUUUGUGACUCCUGAUGUAAAAUGAUAGAGUAAGCUUGUGAUGUGGUAGGGAGAGGCUUCAUCAACAACACAUUUCCUCUGACUGUGUUGUAGGUCUCAUUUAGCCCCAUCAAAAAUUGUAUUAAUUUCUGAUCUUCCAACAUCUUGUGAUUGUGCUCCUUAGCUCCACAAUUGCACUCACAACUGCAUGUCAUGAAAGUAUUGAGUUCUUUCAGUUGGUCCCAGAUCCUUUUCAGUUUGGUGAAAUAAGAAGUUAUAUCACUAGUUCCUUGAUUGAUAUUAUUCAACUCUCUUUGAAGCUGAAAUAACUUUGUACCAUCAGCUUGUCCAUACCUUUCCUCUAGUUCAUUCCAUAGAUCUGCAGAUGUUUGUGAGUAAAUAACACUCUCAGCUAUUUCUUUGCUUAGAGAAUUAAGUAGUCAUGCUAUUACCAUGUCAUUGCAACGUGUCCACUGAACUAAUAGAGGUGAAUCUUUUUUUUUUUGGCAUUGCACAUGUUCCAUUGAUGAAUCCCAAUUUAUUUUUGGCAGAUAAAGAGAUAAGGACUCCCCUUCUCCAAUUUCCAUAGCUGGUCCCAUCAAAUGUAGUAUUGAUGAGAUUCAUACCAGGAGAAUCAGAAGAGGAGAGGAAAUAAGGAUGUGAAACAUCAAUCUCAAUUUUGGAUUUGGAAGACUGUUCUUCAGUGCCCAUUCUGUAAGUGUUCAAAGAAAAGAAAUGAAAAGAUGAAUGUAAAAUUGAAAGAAGAUCAGUGAGGUAUUGCUCUGAUACCAUGAAGGAAUUCAAGAAAGAUGGUAUGAAAAUAUUUUUUUAUUUCUUGUGUGAUAUGUACAAUGUUAUUCCUAUAUUUAUACAAAGAAAAGAACUAUCACCGUUAGGCUA